UCUAAGUUCAUAUAAGUGGAACUUUGGACUGCUGUUAUAUAUUUAACAUUUUAUUUGUUUUAAUAAUGGAAUAGUGAUGUCAUAUAGACCUCAGACGGGGAGUGUUCUGGAACUCAUUCAUCAUUUGUUCUUCAUGUGAUCAUCAUUUUAUAUUGUUUAUGUUUCAUUGCGUACAUCACUUUAUAUGCUCCAGUUUUAGGAGUUUUAUACAGGACAGUGUAGGAACCCAUGUUACUUUCCCCUCUCUUCUGAGUGACGAAAACUGCUCAGCAGGCCGUGUGCACAACUGCAAGGAACAUUCAGCGGACACGUUGUCCAAAGGAACAAUUCGUGGCUAACCACAGCUUUUUCACCAUUUGGAUUGGUAGUGAAAUAAAAGUCAGCUCCUGAU